UAUAUACUUAAUGCUUUUCACUUAUCAUUUGUUUCGACACAUAGACAGACCAUACACAUCAAGCACCAAUUGGUACAAUUCUACGUACGUGCAUUAUGGUCCGUCCACAGGCGUACAAGGCUGAGAUUAGUACGGUCCUAUGACUAACGGUAGCAUCUGUGUGUCCAUCCGGUGCGGGAAAGCCAUAGGCAUGGUGUAAUAAUUUUGCUGCCGGUCUGCGUGGGGCGAAGGCGUGAGGACAUGCACUUCCACGCACUCAUAUUUCCUGACCGCUUACGACGGAAAAUAAUGGCUGCCCACCACCCCGUAUCAUUCCCGGCGUGCAAAGCCUGCCUCUUUUUGACUCCCAGAAUUGGCCCUGGCAAUGCCACUGCUAAAGAAAGACCCAACCUUCAGCUGGAAUUUAAUAAGCACGCAAACAAAGGAAGAAAGAAAUGAACGAGAUAAAGCAGCAAAAUCAAAAAGCUUCUUCCCUCCCAUUCAAACGCAGCGGCGAUGGAGAUUUCUCGCUUUGCCCUUUUCCUCUUUCUCUUGCAUCGAUGCAUGCAGCAGAGAACCCACAAAAGAGAUGUUCGUAAGGAGAUGAGCAUCUAUCUAUAACACGUAAAGAAAUAUUUAGCCUCUUUGCCACUUGGGAUGCCUUGUCGAGGAGCAACCAGCAGUAAGCAGGAUUUCCUCUCCUAUAUAUAUAUAUUUCGUCGAGAGGACACAUGAAACCCAAACAUCAUAAUUAGCAUGUUGUAAUAACUGCAGUUCGUGAACGAGGAAGACAAAAACGAUUGAAUCGGGGUUUCGUGUACGUCGCUCAUAUAUUUUGGGAUUCGUUGGAGAUCAUGAAAACAACAUAAAGAGGAUUUGGGGACCCAUAUAAAGAGGAAAAGCUACGUGGAAGGUUCUCUGGGGCCGAGACGUUUGCUCUUGUUGAAACAGUAAUCAGUGUGAUUCCUCGAUGGGAUGGGACACCCGCGACAGUUUUCAUUUGGCAUCCUCCAAACUACACAUGUUGUUGGAUCAUAUCAAAGGACGUGGGUUUUCCGAGAGGUAUAAUAGCAUGCUUGAAUAAGGAAAGAUGGCAUGGUCUCUGUCGACAGCGAAAUGAUCCUCCAUCAUGCGUGGUAAAACAUGAACACGCUAUCCAGUGUGAGGACUAAUGAGAACCAGAGGCUAAUCAUCUUCUAUUUCUGACGAAAACCAAGUCUUGAAGAUAAUUACAGGUUCACGACGAUGAGGACAAAAAUUCACGGAUGUGGAUGACCAGACUCCUAAUCUUUUUCUUCAUCUACCUAGAAAAUGAAAUUACAAGUGGCUUCUCGACAAGUGCUUUCAGGAGGUACCAUCCUAGUCAGCGUAUAGGAUAAUAGAAUAGGACCAUUCUUGUUGUUAACCUUGAAUAAAAAUUAGGGAGGGGAAAAGAUCAAGAGGCUCUCAUCGAUUCCUAAAUGUUCUUUUUCCGAUUUGCAUACAGAAGAGAGGAGGACAGUUCUACAAGAUGUGUUACUUGAGAAACAUAAGAAAAGGAUGUGUAUAUAUAGCAAUUCCAGGUCACUCCACCUAACCUACGCGUGGGCAGACGAACUUAGGGUCGAUAGCCACAGAGCAAGCAGAGGAUUCGGCGCAGGCGACACGGCCCUGGAAACAGAGUACGUACCGCGGUGGUCGUCGUUAGCAAAUAUUAAC
rnacentral:lncRNA from 1 species